rnacentral:lncRNA from 1 species
CCCGCCUUGGGACGCAUCCUAGACGGGAAGUGGAUGUCUAGGAGUUAGGGCGUGUGUGUGCCUGGGACCCGCGUAGCCCUGAGGGGCUUCUGCCCUGGCGAGUUGCUCCCCGCGGGGUCAGUGUCUCCUGCUUGUCCCGCGGCCCUGGCUUCGCAGGCCUAUUUCCGGUUCCACAGGUGUUUGGGUGGGUGUCGCUCACGUCUUCUAAGGAGGCAACGCAGGUUGGAGCCCAGGGCCCACUCUGAGCCUCCCUCUCCGGGAGAGACCCGGCUCGGCCACGGCGUGUGGGGCUGGCCUGUAGGAUCCUGCAGUGCGAGCCAGAUUGUGACCUGCCCUGACUUAGCGGCACCAUCUAGUUCCCUGAAUGGGUCGUGUUGGUCCCCACACAGCCCCCAGUCUGACCUGCCCCAGCGCUGUCUCAGGCAUCCCCAGUGACAAGUGCUGUGGAAGAGUCUGGGGCCCACUGGUGACCCAUCCUUCGCGUUCUGGACCACAAGGACCACCCCACCAGGUGCUGCUGUCCAUGUCCACAGUCCAGGCAACAUAAUCAGCAGACUUUCCUGCCACCGAGAGGAGGAACGCUCAUCUUCGUCUCAUUAGCAUGAGGAGGGGAGUGGGAACGAGGCCUCAGGUCCUCACAGAGAGUCCAGCCACACCCCAUCCUCACCUGCCAGCAGGCACAGGGACUGCCCCUGGUCAACUGGGGCCCCAUUCUGGGUGUCUCCCUUGUUGGCAGUUUGCCUCUGCAGUUUGACACCCCUGUGAGCUCCAUGAGCUUGUGAGCUUUUCCCUGAAGCUUCGUCCUGCAAGACCCCACCCUGGUCUCCAAGGCAAGGGGUCGGGGGGCCUUCAAGCCCUCACCCACCAGCCCAUAGCUGAGGCCCUGGAGAGAGUUUGGCAAGUCUUCCCAGGAAGUCCUGCAAAGGCCCACAUCUCUAUUCCGUGAGGCUCCUGGGUUUGCUUGCUGCUGUUUCAGGAGUUUUAUUUUUACUUAUUUAUUUUUAGUUCAAAUUUAUCAUAUUUAUUCAAAUUCAAUGAAAAACAAGUCUCUUUUGAUGACUACCAAAAAUUAGGGGCUUAGAUGACCAUCAUCAUCUUGUAUGUGCCUCAGCAGCCAAUUUAUAUAUGCAAAUUCUUAUUGGUUGCAUAGUAUUGAGA